rnacentral:rRNA from 1 species
UACGUAGGGUGCAAGCGUUGUCCGGAAUUAUUGGGCGUAAAGAGCUCGUAGGCGGUUCGUCGCGUCGGCUGUGAAAACCUGGGGCUCAACCCCGGGCCUGCAGCCGAUACGGGCAAACUAGAAUUCGGUAGGGGAGACUGGAAUUCCUGGUGUAGCGGUGAAAUGCGCAGAUAUCAGGAGGAACACCAAUUGCGAAGGCAGCUCGCUGGAACGUAACUGACGCUGAGACGCGAAAGCGUGGGGAGCAAACAGG